CUCACCUGUCUCGAGGUUGAAGGAGAUGCGGGCCUCAGCGAGGUAGGGGGUGUCGCUCUUGGAGCGGACGCGGCGGAUGGGUCUGCGGUCGAUGUCCUCCUCGGAAGAUGCCGCCAUUAAUGUGGGCACGGCUUCACCUUGAUAACAGCAACGUGUGAGGGAGACGUAUAUCCAAGUGGUUUCCUUCAGACCUGUUACUGAAAUAACUCAUACCAAAUGUUUGAAGUUUUGGAACGGUAAGGUACGUCCUCGAGGGAACCAGGCCUGGACAAUGAAGAUGAUAUGAAGUGAAAGUGAUAUUGCCAUUUACCAGAAAGGACAGAUCCUCUAUUGAUAGACACCGUUCAGCACACUAAAGAAGAAUCCUGUACAGACACCUUUAAGAUCAAUUGUCCCUUUAUCCUCAUGGAGACAUGCAAAAGACAAAUUGGCGUGGUCAGACUGUUGUUCUCUUGUUGUUAGUGGUGCUGGGCAGAUGCUCAUGAUGAAGGCUCAACCAGAAUAGUCCUGACUGAGGC